rnacentral:rRNA from 1 species
GACGAACGCUGGCGGCGUGCUUAACACAUGCAAGUCGAACGGAAAGGCCCUGCUUUUGUGGGGUGCUCGAGUGGCGAACGGGUGAGUAACACGUGAGUAACCUGCCCUUGACUUUGGGAUAACUUCAGGAAACUGGGGCUAAUACCGGAUAGGAGCUCCUGCUGCAUGGUGGGGGUUGGAAAGUUUCGGCGGUUGGGGCUGGACUCGCGGCUUAUCAGCUUGUUGGUGGGGUAGUGGCUUACCCAGGCUUUGAAGGGUAGCCGGCCUGAGAGGGUGACCGGCCACAUUGGAACUGAGAUACGGCCCAGACUCCUACGGGAGGCAGCAGUGGGGAAUAUUGCACAAUGGGCGGAAGCCUGAUGCAGCAACGCCGCGUGCGGGAUGACGGCCUUCGGGUUGUAAACCGCUUUCGCCUGUGACGAAGCGUGAGUGACGGUAAUGGGUAAAGAAGCACCGGCUAACUACGU